rnacentral:rRNA from 1 species
AUUGAACGCUGGCGGCAGGCCUAACACAUGCAAGUCGAACGGUAACAGGAAGAAGCUUGCUUCUUUGCUGACGAGUGGCGGACGGGUGAGUAAUGUCUGGGAAACUGCCUGAUGGAGGGGGAUAACUACUGGAAACGGUAGCUAAUACCGCAUAACGUCGCAAGACCAAAGAGGGGGACCUUCGGGCCUCUUGCCAUCGGAUGUGCCCAGAUGGGAUUAGCUAGUAGGUGGGGUAACGGCUCACCUAGGCGACGAUCCCUAGCUGGUCUGAGAGGAUGACCAGCCACACUGGAACUGAGACACGGUCCAGACUCCUACGGGAGGCAGCAGUGGGGAAUAUUGCACAAUGGGCGCAAGCCUGAUGCAGCCAUGCCGCGUGUAUGAAGAAGGCCUUCGGGUUGUAAAGUACUUUCAGCGGGGAGGAAGGGAGUAAAGUUAAUACCUUUGCUCAUUGACGUUACUCGCAGAAGAAGCACCGGCUAACUCCGU